UACUUCAGCCAGCUGAAAGACAACAGCAACAUCAUUCUGCUCAGCAACUCCCAAGGAGACUUAAGGAUGGCCAAUGGUGUAGACAAUGUUGAACACAUUUUGAAAAUUAGUUAUCUGAAUGACAGAGUAGACGAGCUUUUAGAAAAAAAACACAUGAACCCCUCUGAGAUUGUUUUAGUAAAUGAAUCAUUGGAGAUUGUCAACUCUAUUUUACAGAAGACAUUGUAA
rnacentral:lncRNA from 1 species